rnacentral:lncRNA from 1 species
GCCGGGCCCCCCUGCCUCGUCCUGCCCGCGCGUCGGGGCCGGCGCGGUGCUGCUGGCGCGGCCCGGACAGUGGCAGGUGUGCCACCUUGGAGGUUUCUUUUUGAAGUUUCAACUGAUAUACAAACUUAUUGUGAGUUACCUGCCCUGUCACUACGGCGGUGGGAGAGACUGAAGACGAGAGCAACGCCAAGUCCGAAGACUUCAAAUGAAAAAAGCUGGCUGGGAGAACUUUGCCGAGAAGAGAUCCGCAGCAGAGCCGCGGUGGAAAUGGCUCCAGCAACACAGUUGCAAUUCUCGCAGCUGUGUGAGAGAGCCGGGGGUAAAUGCUGCCCCUGUGCAGCUGAUCCCUCUCAGAAGAACGGAGUUUGGGCAAGAAGUACUGUCUGGAGAUCUAAGAAUAUACAUGAAGUCAUCAUUACUGAUGGAAGGAAGCAGGGGAAAGCUGCAAAACUACUGGAGAACUGCACAUUCAUUAUGUGCAAAAAAAGAAAAAAGAAAAAAAAAGAAAGAAAAAGAAAGAAAAAGAGAAAGUAGUAUUAGGACUACACUACUGCAAUCCAAUGCCACUCCUGUGCACUGACUGCCUGAAUGAAAGCAACUUCAUUGUGCU